AAAAUAAAAAAAAAUUACAGAAUUGACGUUCGGCUCGGGAAGAAAGAACGAAGGUGAGCGGUGGCACAUGUUACAAUGGACCCAGGUUUGAGUCUCCAGUCCCCACCUGUAGGGGCCACCAGCUUCCAGAUGCUGCCAAGAUGCCAACAUGACUUCCCUGGGAAGAUGACCCCACC